CUGGGGUGCAUUGUAGUUGCAUUGCAUAUACCUAUGAAAAAGUGCAAUACUUCUGUAGUGCAACACCAG
rnacentral:pre_miRNA from 1 species